rnacentral:lncRNA from 1 species
UUUCGAUUAUCUAUUGAGAUUGAGAACAAGGAAAAGAACUAUUAUUACAACAAGUUACAACACAACAACUUGCCACAACAAUUCCAAGGCAUGCAGAUUAUUCAGUUUAAAUGCAUAAUAAUCACUUGUGAUAGUAAAAUGUAAGGUUGCAACAAGCUUUCAACAACAAUAACACUCAUUCAACUCAACAAAGAUUCCACAUAUAAGUUAUUGCUUCACAGUGUAUCAUCUAAAUUCUUGAAAGUUAACAUGACCGGUUGCUUGAGCGUGCUCCGCUGCUUCCUGAAUAUAUUCACAGAAAAAUCAGUCCUCAAGUCAGAAUCAUAUAAUGAGUGAAUCAUCGGUUUAGUUACCGCAAUAGUAAUUUGACUGAAGAAUAUUCAGUUUUAGAGAGUAUUUUGAAACUUCGUUAAAUUCGUUUCUAGGGACUAAAUAAAGUAGCAAGUAAAAUUUCAGGACUGAAUUGAUGAUUCACUCUUAUAUAACACAUAAAGAAAAAAAUCAGGUAAUGAGGAAUGACCUUCUGACCAAUAACUCCAAUUUGGCAUACGCCACAGCGCAGAGUGAAGUUGGUUGUGUCGGUGAAUCUCCGUUUCCUGAGAAUGAGAAUCCAUAAUAUUAGCACUGGUAAGGGAUACCGAAAGCAUAAAUAAUUCGGAGAGGCAACUUAACAUGAUGAUAAUCAAACUAAGUUGAGUAGAAACUUUCAAAAAAAGAACACCAUGCAACACAACCAAACACUUACACGAAACAAAAUGAAAUAGCGGUAAUUCACUUCUCAAGCCAGGAUAAAAAUGUGUGAAGCAAGAGAACCAAUCAACGAGUAUAAUUUAUGGUAUAUGAAAUUACAUACAGCUAAAGCAUCGUAGUGGAGACCAUCAUAAAUCAGCAUCACUCUUUCAGAAUAGUUACCUUCCUGUCAAAAGUAUUUGGCAAAAAAAGAAGACAGAAAAGUUCAGUUACAGGAGCUUAACAAAACUUGAGAACAUAUAGAACUGCAUCUAAGUGUCUAACCUGACCAUACAAAUCACACCGCGUUGUCUGAAUACCAUAUGCUGCAAUCUCGCGUCCAUAAUAAUCUGCUAAUAUUGAAAUUUCAAUUGCACCUUCACAAUGGAAUAUAGCUUCAUUAGCACAUCAAUGUCCAAAGUCAAAACUAAUGCAAAAACUAAUAGUAUUUUACUGCUAAAUUUUCUGACUGAAGAGUUUAAAAUGCCCUUUGAAACUCAUUUUACGAUCAUCAACCACCAAUCUCCAAAAUCCAUUGCCUUAUUCAAAAAAUUAGUACUUCAUUGCUAGAACAAAAACAACUGAAGUUUAAUUACGAUUGUUGCAGAACAUUGUCUAGUUUAUCCAGAUGUUCAGAUACGGAAUUCCUAAUUUAUUCUUUAUUCAUCUUAAGAUUUGAGAAAAAGAAUCUAAUGCACUCGUUAGUACUUGGUAUAUAUUUAUCUUGGCAAAGUUUAUCAAAAGCCAAAAUGUAAGGAUUAUAGAAUCGAAAACAACCUAAAUUUGAGGCCCAUAUCAUACUAGAACAUCGAAAGUAGCAGUUUCAACUUGCAAAACAAAUAUUACUGUAAUAACUAUUUCCUAAGGCUUCUAUGGUACUUCAAAGUUGAGUUUUUGCAAAAGAAAAUCAUUCAAAUGUACAUUCAUUUAUUUAUUAAGGAUUCUUCUUAAAAUUCUGCGCGUAUUAUACAUGACUAAAAACUAAAUAUACUUCAUGGGUUUUAUAGUCCAGCCAAACAUACAUGUCAGUGUAUUUCUAGUUUUCUAACAAACUUAACAAGCCAGAAUCAAAGUUUACAUAAUGAUUACCCUAUAUCUGGUUUUCUACUAGAGAACCUAAUUGACACAACAUGCAUUGAAAUGAAUCAUUCACAUAAACCUGUAUCUGGUAUUCACUCUUUGCAUAUUCAUCGCAAAUUAAAUACAAAAAACAUAGACAAAAUAAACUACCUGUCUCAACUCAGCAGCUUUGGUUUGGUCCCGAUCCAUAACAUAUCUACAAAUAGCAAACAUAACAAAAAUGAAUAAAAGAAUAUUACAAGAGAAACUAUUUGUGCACUAUUUACACUUUAGGUUGAAAGUGUUGCCCUAACACAUGUCAAUGUACGACACCAACACAAGACAUGCACAUAGGUUACAUUUAAUCACUAUCAUUCUCUUAAAUUAUUAUUGAUAUUGAUAUCCAAGUGCCCGUGUCAAUGUUGUGUCCGGUGUGCAUGUCUAUAUCGAUGCUUAAAUUAAGCAAACAUAACAAAAAUGCUGUUGGGUAAAAGGUGUGAUCCGUAUAUUAUUCAUGAUAGGCAAAUGCCUUAUAUAGACUUUACACGUACUAGCUUGUUACACAAGCACUUAUAAACACACUUGGCUAAGGACCUAUGUACACUAUGAACCAGACAUCAGACCCUGCAUCAGUCCUAACAACCCGUAGUACAUAAUGUACUAACAUUCUGUGCAGCAUCUGUCCUAACAAAUGUCAAUGUACGACACCAACACAACACUGGCACACAGGUUACAUUUAAUCACUAUCAUAUUCUUAAAUUAUCCUCGAUAUCGAUGUCUAAGUGUCCAUGUCAGUGUUGUGUCCGGUUUGCAUCUCUACACCGAUGCUUCAUAGUUUAUACAAAGCUGAUGCUAUAAAGAUACUCACCCAACUUCAUUCAGAAGGAAUAACCCUUCUCACAACAACACCUUCCAUGAUGAUAACUAGUAACCUGAAAAUCAAUCACAAACACAAUCAUGGUUCAAAAUUCAAAUGAACUAUUAAUCUAUAUAAAAAUAUAAACUUUAUUUAACAUCUUUCUCCAACAAUUCAAUAUGAAGCAACCCAUUAUUCUCAAUUUGAUAAUUAACAACAAAUUAAGAAGAAAACCUAAAAUUCAACCAAAAAAAAACAGUGAAUUUUGAUUGCUACCUCCGAUAGAUAUGCCUGUAGCAUUUCAUAUUUGCCUGAAACUUUUUGAUAUUCUUCUGGUAUAGUGAAGGAACCAGCCGUGAUGCAGAGUUUGCAGAGCCAAAACAAAAAGGAGGAAGAUAAAAGUCCCAAGAAGUUUCAGCACUAGAUGCCAUGUUUGAUAUGGGAAAAUACAUCAAGAGAAAGAAACUCUCCAUUUAUACAAGAUGAAGAUGCCUCUUUAGAUAGGAAGCCACAACUGAUAGAACUGAUGUAACAAAACUAUAGAAGCCGCAGGUUCCGCCUUGACUGGGCGGUGCUCUGACCAAUUGAACUACAAUCCAACUAUUCAGACGGUUAAGUUAAUUACAACGGAAAAGAUGCCUUGUAAUUAACUGAGCUACUCCAAUGAUAUUAUUAUACACGAUAUUUCCAUCUAGACAAUGCAGUUGUUUUUACACUUCGUUCAUAAAGUCACUAAGGAUCAUUAGGAACAUAGAUAUAUCCAAACUUUCUAGCAUUUCAUUAUUCAUGAUGUUAUCAUCUAAGUACAAAUGGUCUCCGUGUCAUUAAGUUUAUGAAGUUUACACUGAUUAUAUUUUUCCAGCUUAUACUACUCAUCAAGCAAAAUGACUUUGACAGAAAUGCUGAAUGACAUUGAGCAUCAUCCUAUGCAAAAGCAGUGUACUGUUGAAGAUCUUGAAGCCAAUCAGAAGGCCACCAAUCUGGUUUACUAGCGACAACCUUCACAUCCUCUUGUCCUUGAAUGGACAAGGCAGUGGAACCCUUUAAGGCUUCCACCAGCCGCAAGAGUCCCAACCCACGACAUCCCAGAGCAGUAGUCAUUAAACCAGCUUUUUUCCCAGAUCCUGUGUUUACUACUUCGGAGCCAGGAAUGAACCUGUUUAUGAUUUCUGGAAUAGCAGAAACAAAAGGCUCAGAGUUCAUUCAUCAUAAAAUAAAAUCGGCAAUAGAUAUCAUCAUAAUACUAAAGAAGAUAACUACUACUAAUUACCUUUCCCAUCAUUAUCUUGAAACCUUAGAGGAACUAAUCGCUUCCGAAUCACCCCUCUGUGGUGCGUAUGUGCUACCAGUUCUUGGCCCACAUAGCAACCUUUGUCAACGCUGAUUGCAUUAAGGCCAACAAGAUUAUUAUUAUUAUUAUUAUUAUUAUUAUUAUUAUUAUUAUUAUUAUUAUUAUUAUUAUUAUUAUUAUUAUUAUUAUUCAACAUUUGGAGUUGAUUUUUCAGUAGUCCUACUCCUGGGCACAAAUGAACAGAUUAAAUUUUUUUUGAAAUGGAUGAUAUCUCCUGCAAUUUCUACUUAAUAAAUUUUGCUUAUUGUGCAAGUUAUUGGAACUAUCUUACUACAAUUUUCUUGUUUUGCAACUUAUAGGUCUAAACACAUGAACAAGUGGAAAUGAGCAUUUUUUAGGCUCAAUUUGACAAAUAUUCAAGCAUGACAUCAUAUGUGCUCUAAAGGGACACUUCCUUUAUGAAGGGAUAACUGAAAGGGAAGCCAAAUGUGUUAAUUUCGUGCAUAAUGACAUUUUUAGCCGUUACACUUUGAUUAAAUGAGUGAAAAACCAAAUCAAGCAUUAGAGACCUAUCUCGGGCGUGAUAGCCGUACACGGUUGUAACAGACCAAGAAAAUGAGAGAUGUUACUCUGAAGCAAUUGUCACGGCCGUGACAGUCUUUGAACUCAUCAGAUGUCCGUUUUGGCUCUUUGUAUUCCCACUUCUGUGGCACUAAUGUGUAGUUAUUGUGACCUUAUCAUUAUUGUCUAUGUUUUUCUGAUCAUUGGGAGGCCAUAUAUAUAUAUAUAUAUAGUCUCAUUGGCUUUUUAAAACUCAGAUUUCACAACUUGUAACAUUGCAAAGUAUCAAAUAAAGUCUUUAGUUUAUUUUCAGUUUGUUCUUGUUAUUGUUCAUAUUCAUAUAUUCAUAGCUUAGUGUCACCAUGUCAAGGUGUGAAUAGCCCAACCACACCUUGAGGUUAUGGAGAUCAUUUUAUAACAUAACCUCCUAGACCUUUUCAUAUGUGUGAAUGUUGCUGAUGGUUACUAGCAAUAAUUAUCACACUUUGCAGCUGUUCUUCAUUAUAAAUCUCGAAGUAUUUGGUAAAGUAUCGAAAGGUGAAGCUGGUACUGUGAUUCUCUGCAAUUUUUUAUCGAUGUCUUUGUAUGUCUUUGUGGAGGGACUGUUUGGCACGCUUGGGCUCUCCAGUUUGGUGACAAGGACGUAAGCUUUGCAAGCAUGGAGGUGUUGGGGUGCUAAGGUGUUUGGCUACGACAGACUAGCGUGCUUGACAACCGCUGUGACAAUGACAAAUGUUUCACAAUGCUAAAGUACCUUUUUACUUGCUUUUAAGAAUAUAGGUUUUCACAUAACAUAAACACAUGAGGGAAGGAAACACAUGAGGGAAGGAUUGGGAGUUUGUGUUUGGAAUGUAAUCCAUAACCUUGGGGGUCUUUAAAAUAUAAGAAAAAUCAAUCAUCGAUGCUAGCUUGUUUUGAUCACUAAAAACCUAAAAACAAUCAUCAUAAUCAUCACCACUUCUCUAAACUUCUCAUAUAAAUUUCCUUGAAUCAAAUUAUACACCAUUACUCAUUAGUCCCUAUGAAUUCAAUACUCUUUUUAUUACGACGACAUAUUUGUGCACUUGCGAGCAUGUCAUGAUUUUGGCACCGUUGCUGAGUACUAAUCGUAGAAAUAGGGUAAAAAAAAUCUAGGAAAUUUUUCUCUGCUGCAGGUUUUGCUUUUUGUUUUGUUUUUAUUGCCUCUUGUUUUAGCACUUUUGUGACUCUCUAGUGGAGGAAAUAAGACACUUUGAUAAAGGGAAAUCUCAGUCGUCAUGGAAUGAUGUAUCAGAACGGUACGAAAAUUUCUUUUAGCUCUAAAAUUGAAUCAUUGAUGAAUAACAUGCAUAAAAGUUCUUGCAAUUUUUGUGGUCUUAUACGUCAUGAUGAAUCAAUUUUUGCUUUUAACUAAAAAAACACUUCCAACCAUGGUGGUUCAUGAAUUAAAAUGUGUUUUAUCAAAACAUGCCACCUAAUUUCACUUUUUCUAAUGGUGCAAACAAAAACUUUCCAAACCAUGAUGACGACAGCACAAAGACUCACAAAAAUUGGCCAUAGAUGCUAAAUUCGAGCAAUUCAUGGUUGACCAAGAAAAGUUCAAUAAAGAAAUGUCUAGGAAGGUGAAUGGAAUUUUAGAAAAAUUAAAGUGUUGAUUGGUCUCUUGAUGCACUCUGCACACAACUUGACUACGGUGUUGAAAAAAUAGAAUCCGUAAACAUGCUUUCACCCUUUGAAAACUUAAAAAUUGAACCAAAGCCAACUUGUGAGCAAAAUGUAAACAUAGAGCAAGAAAAAGAGGAUGAUGAUUUUGAAAAUAUUUGAAGUAUGCUCGAGGGAAUCUCCCACUUGGAAUUAUUUAUGAAGAGAAUUGAAAAUAACAAAGAAUACCUUUCUACCUUAGGCCUAUUGGUAUGAGAAAGAGCGAUCCCAUCCCGCUCUAUGAAACAAUGAUUCUAAACCAAUAAAGAACACCAAUAAUUUUUUUUUCGCCUAGAAAAUUAGAAGAUCCUGGUAGCAUCAUCAUCCCAAGCAUAGUAGGUACGGUUAAGAUAGAAAAAUGCCCUUUGCGACAGUGGGACAAGUUAAAAUGCGAUAUCACUUUGGCUUGUGGUGCUACACAUUGCAAGAGCACAAUCUAGCAUUUUCCUAAAUUAAAUGACUAAACCACAUUUUCACAGAAUAGGCAGGAUUCAGACAAGUACUACUUGCUACUUGCUAUCUUAAUAUCACACAAGUACCAACAACACUUUAACAAGGUCCAGCAGUGUUAGCUAGGUAGCAGCAUUCAGACUUCUAGAGAGAUGUGCCAUAAGAACCUGUGUUGGUUAUAUUCUACAGGGAAAAAAAAAGAAUAGUUCUCAGCAUAACCUUGAAAUCACUAAUCAACUGCUGUAGAAAAAUCUACAGUACCUGUCGUUUCACUUUUUCUGUGACUAUUCUAAGCAUUUGCUCCCCCAAAAUGCCUUUCAUGACCGAUACAAAAGUAUACUGGGGUAUUUCACCUCUCUAUAACAAAUGACACAAAAAAGUUAAUAAUAUGGCAAAGCUUUGCACCACAAACUUAAAUAGUUUUUAGAACAUAAGAGAGGGAAAAAGAAAUGACAGAGAGGGGGAGGGGGGCUAACUGACCUUGUAUUUGUCAAAAAAAACUUCAAGUUCAAUGGCUUUGUCUGGGUCAAUAUGGGAAAUAAAUAAAGGGAUCAGCUGGUCAAAUGGCAACACCAGUUUACUGGAAUUGAUUUGGGUUCUAGGCUGUUUGUUGUCUGGGAACAGCUGACUUCUUUUCUACAAGAGAAAAAAUAUAGUUCUUAACAUAACCUUGAAAUCAAUAAUGAAUUGCCUUAUAGAAAAAUCAUCAGCAACGCUGCAUAAACCAUCCAAUCAACCUACCCGUUGUUUCACUUUUGCUGAUCUAAGCAUCUGCUCCCCCAAAAUGCCUUUCAUAAAAGGAACAAAAGUAUGCUCGCCUAUUUGACCUCUCUAGAACAAAUGACACAAAAAAGUUAGUAUUAUGGCAAAGCCUUGAACCACAAACUUAAAUAGUUUUUAGCAUAGAAGAUAGGGAAAACAAAAUGACAGUGAAACUGGUUUGGGGGGUAACAGACCUUAUAUUUGUCGAAUAAAGUUUGAAGUCCAAUGGCUUUGUCUGGGUCAAUAUCGGAAAUCAAGAAAGGAAACAGCUGGUCAAAUGGCAAUACCCGUUCACUGGAAUUGAUUUGGACUCUAGGGUGUUCGUUGACUGGGACCAGCAGAUUUGUUUUCUACAAGGGAAAAAAUAUUGUUCUUAACAUAUUAACAUAACCUUGAAAUCAUAUUGAAUUGGCUUAUAGAAAAAUCACCAGUAACGCUGCAUAAACCAUCUACUAUACCUACCUGUUGUUUCAGUAUUGCUUCUACUGAUCUAAGCUUCUCCUCCCCCACAAUGCCUUUCAUAAACGAUACAAAAUCAUACUUGGGUAUUUCACCUCUCUAGAACAAAUGAGACAAAAGAGUUAGUAAUAUGCCAAAGCCUUGCACCACAAACUCAAAUAAUUUUUAACACGGAAGAGAGGGAAAGGGAAAUGAUAGUGAAACCGGUUUGGAGUUAACAGACCUUAUAUUUGUCGAAUGAGGCUUGAAUUUCAUUGGCUUUGUCUUUGUGAAUUUCGGGAAACAAGAAAGGGAACAUCUGGUCAUAUGGCACCACAGGCAAACUAAAACUGAUUUGGGUUCUAAACAGUUCAUUGACCUGUUGCAGUUUCUCUGAUGCUGAUAAAAGCAGCUCCUCCCCCACAAUGUCUUUCAUAAGCGAGUAAAAAGUAUUUCUGGGUAUUUCAUCUCUCUAUAACAAAUGACACAAAAGAGUUAGUAAUAUGGCAAAGCCUCGCACCACAAUCUUAAAUAAUUUUUAACAUAGAAGAGAGGGGAAAAGACAUUAUAGUGAAACCGGUUUCGGGGUAACAGACCUUAUAUUUGUCAAAUAAAUCUUUAAGUUCACUGGCUUUGUCUUGGUCAAUUUCGUGAAACAAGAAAGGGAACAUCUGGUCAUAUGGCACCACAGGCAUUGUAAAAUUGAUUUGGGUUCUAGGCUGUUCAUUGACUGUGACUGGUAGAUAUCUUUUCUGCAAAGGGAAAAAGUGGUUCUUAACAUAAACAUGAAAUGAAUAUUCAACUUUCUUAUAGAAAAAUCAUUAGCAACACUGCAUACACCAUCUACUUGACCUACCUGUUGUUUCAGUUUUGCUUCUGCUGAUUUAAGCUUCUCCUCUCCCGCAAUGCCUUUCAUAAGCGAUACAAAAUCAUAGUUGGGUAUUUCACCUCUCUAGAACAAAUGAGACAAAAAAGUUAGUAAUAUGGCAAACUCAAAUAAUUUUUAACACAGAAGAGAGAGAAAAAGAAGUGAUAGUGAAACCGGUUUGAGUGUAACAAACCUUAUAUUUGUCAAAUAAAGCUUGAAUUUCUUUGGCUUUGUCGUUGUGAAUUUCGGGAAACAAGAAAGGGAACAUCUGGUCAUAUGGCAUCACAGGCAUUGUAAAAUUGAUUUGGGUUCUAGGCUGUUCAUUGACUGUGACUGGUAGAUAUCUUUUCUGCAAAGGGAAAAAGUGGUUCUUAACAUAAACAUGAAAUGAAUAUUCAACUGUCUAAUAGAAAAAUCAUUAGCAACACUGCAUACACCAUCUACUUGACCUACCUGUUGUUUCAGUUUUGCUUCUGCUGAUUUAAGCUUCUCCUCUCCCGCAAUGCCUUUCAUAAGCGAUACAAAAUCAUACUUGGGUAUUUCACCUCUCUAGAACAAAUGAGACAAAAAGUUAAUAAUAUGGCAAACUCAAAUAAUUUUUAACACAGAAGAGAGAGAAAAAGAAAUGAUAGUGAAACCGGUUUGAGUGUAACAAACCUUAUAUUUGUCGAAUAAAGCUUGAAUUUCUUUGGCUUUGUCGUUGUGAAUUUCGGGAAACAAGAAAGGGAACAUCUGGUCAUAUGGCAUCACAGGUAACCUAGAACUGAUUUGGGUUUUAGACUGUUCAUUGACUGUGAGCGGUAGAAUUCUUUUCUACAAGGGAAAAAAAGCAGUUCUUAACAUAAACAUGAAACGAAUAUUCAACAACUGUCUUCUAGAAAAAUCAUCAGCAACACUGCAUAAACCAUGUACUCUACCUUUCGCAUUUGUAUUGCUGCUGAUAAAACUUGUUGAUCAUCCCCCACAAUCUCAACCAAAAGCCUUACAAAAACAUACUUGGGUAUUUCAUCUCUCUAGAACAAAUGACACAAAAGAGUUGGUAAUAUAAUAUGGCAAAGCCUUAAAUAAUUUUUAACACAGAAAUUAGAGUGAAACCGGUUUGGCGGUAACGGACCUUAUAUUUGUCGAAUAAAGCUUGAAGUUCUUUGGCUUUGUCUGGGUGAUCAUAAAUCAAGUAAGGGAACAUCAAGUCAUAUGGCACCUCGGGUAUCCUAGAUUUGAGGCGGUCCAUAGUCUUUUAAACCAACUGCAAUUGAGACAUUAACAUAAAAGAAGCAUCUUAAGUAUAUGCAUUUGGUUAUAGGUAUGAAUUCAUUUCAGGAUCAUUUGUUCCAAGUCUUAAACAUUUAGAACCACAUGAUUAAUAGAAUUCAAAUUAUUUCUAGCAUCUAAUAAUAUUUUAGCUUUAUGACCAAAACAUCUGUUAAUCUAUAAACCACGGUUGAAUGAGAAGUUUGGUGCAUGGAAACCACAAAUCACAUAACUAGGGUUAGGGUAAAACGAAAAACACACACAAAAUUGAAAGAAAAUAAUAAGCAUGAGCAUUGAAAAACAAUAAACCUAGAACAAAAACAUAAAAUUGAUAUCAAAUAGUCAAACACACACAAAAUGAAAUCAAUAGUCAAAAUCAAAAUACAAUAAUAAACAUGAGCAUUGAAAAACAAUAAACCUAGAACAGACGAAACGGAAUUUCAAACAGAUGGAGACUUUAGCAGCGGUGGGGUUUUUUAUUUUCUGCCUUUUGUUCAACCUAAUUCUUCUUGCGUUUCAGAUAUAUAAAUAAAUAAAAUAUAAUAAUAAUACAGUAAUAUUUGAUCUGUUUCAAAUUACUUGUCCUUAUGAAAAAAUAAAAAAUUAAGAAAAUAUAUUUUUAAAAUUUAUCUUCCUAUUAUACACUUUAUUUAAUUCACCAAUAAUUUUAUUUUUAUUUUUUCUGCAGACACUUUCUCUUUCCAAUAAAUUUAAUUUAUUAUGUACCAAAAAAAUAAAAAAUUAAUAUGUUAUGUACAAAAAAAACUUUAGUUUUCAAAAUAUAUAUUAAAUCUUGAUAUUGCAAACUUAAUGAUUUCGUUUCUUGAUAUUUCAAAAACUUUAGUUUUCAAAAUAUAUAUUAAAGAAAACUUGCAGCACAAGCAAUUGCAAACUUAAUGAUUUCGUUUCUGGUACUAAGUUGUUAAAAAUGAAUUUGUUCUUCUACGUUGAUUUUUGAUUCUGAAAAAUUAUUCACUGAUUCUUUAUAUUGUUUGCCCGGUUCUUAUCUAAUUUGUUGCUAUUGUAUGUAUAUCACAUGGAAAUUAAGAAUGAAAAAGUUGGAGAUGACGUGAUUGAGAUAGAAACUAACAAAUUUGGCAACCAAAUGUUAUUUAAGAAGAAAGGAUACUCUCAUUAUGGUAAACUUUGUAUAAUUUUUGUUGACGCAAUUGUCUCUUUGAUAAAAAUCACAACGCUUCUAUUAACAUUCAUUCGAUAAGUAAUGAUUAGAAUGUACAAGAAAAUCACAUUGAUCUAGAAAAUGUUAGAUUUCUCUUUCUCAACUCCCAAAUUUGGUAAAAGUGUCAAAAGAACGAAAAUAUACAUUUGUCUGAAGUUAACAGCUAAUGAAAAGUUCAGUUCACAGGACAUCACAUCAUCAUUGUCUUCACCGAUGCUUAGAAGUAUUCUGCUUGUCUUACUCUUUGUCUUCUGGAACUGGAGCUGGAGCUGGAACUGGAGAACCCUUUGUUCCCAAUAUCUUUUGGCAUGCUCUAAAACCAAUAAAAUAGAACACAUUCAUUAGACUUGCCCUAGAGAUAAAAUCCAUGGAUAUAAUGAUUAAAGUGUUCACUAAAUCAGUGUUGUCAAUCACAGAUUGUGGAAAAUAACAAUUUGUUCAAAGUCUGCUACAGAUUUGGACUGGACGGUUCCUAUUAAAACAGUUUUUAAUUUUUUAUUUAAUAUUAAAUUUUCAUUAUCAAAUCAUGAUUGUUUAAUCUUGAUCGGAUGAUCCUAAAGUUGCUGAGUGCAUACAGUCAUUGAUUUGUGACUGCAUAGAGUCCAGGUCUGUUACAGUGCUAUAAUGCGGCUAUUUGACAACACUUUGUACUAAAUAGUAUAUUGUGGAACAAUAGCAAUUUGUUCAAAUUGCGCUAUGCUAUAGCGCUGUGAUAGCCGUUAUUUGACAAAAUAAGUAUGUAGUGUUUCUUCACGUCCUUCAUUAUAAAGCCAUUUCUUAGCCUCUUCGAGGCUCCUGGAUAUUUCAUCCUUCUCUUGUUCACUUGCAAAAUUACGGUAUUCGUUUAAGAGCUAUUCACAAAUGCACAAAUUAUUAAACGUCGGUCAGUGGGUAAAGAUAGAACACACACACACAUAAAGCUAGAUAUGAAAUGUGUGAUAAAACCAUGUCUGCAUCUUAUUAAGCUAAUGAACCCUAUACCUUAUUCCUCGUGUCAUAGACGAAUGACUCCAAUAUGUUCCCCUUGUUUUUGGUUAACUCCAUUGCUACAUCCUGCUGGAUUAACUGACGUUCUUUUUCUCGUGCUUUCACGAGUUCAGCACCGGUCAUUCCUCCGAAGAUGGUCUCACUCACUGGUAAAUUAAGCCUUCUGUUAGCUUUAUCUUUUCCCGUACCAUCCGACUGUAAAAAGGCAUGAUAGUAACAUAACACUUUAUUUACUCAAAUCACCAACAUGAAUCAUAUCUGCAAUCAAAACAAUCUCAACAAGAUAAAAAUAUACUUAUACGAUUAUCACAUAUAUUUAAAAUCAAUCGUCAUAGACCGAGAGACAUGUCAUAAGAUUCAACAUUAAAAAUGAUCAGAUAAAGUUUAGCUAUAUGAUUUUUCAUUUUGAAGGAUGAUUUGCAAGAUAUCUCUAUCAUUCGAUAUAUUCUGUUAUGUUGAAUUAAAGAUAGGUGUUAAUCAACAAAGUACUUACAGAACUAUGUGGAGGUUCACUCUUCUGAUUGAUACUAUGUUCAUUGACAUUUUGACCUGACAUUUUGACCUGUCUCAGAAAUGGGCUCAACAUCCAUUGCGUCAGAAUUUGAAUGAUUAUCACGCGUUGUAACAGAAUCUUCCACAUGAUCCUCGAUCAACUGAAGACAAAUUAAAGGUUCAUGUACAUCACUAGAUAUCUUAGAAAACUGAUAAUGUAAUAUUGAGAGAUUAAAAUUAGGCUUCUUACUUACUGUAGAUGAUUCGAUAUUGACAAUGCCGUGCAGAUUUAGUUGAAAUAUAACUUCAACUCCUGCCUUACUUCCAUCGGAUUCAUGUAAAGGACCAAUCUGAAUAGAAGUGGCAAUCAAAUGCAUAAUCAUAUAUACGAGUCUUUGAGUACUAAAAAGUGAAGUUUAAGACGACAAAAAAUCUUAGAGGCGACACUACAUGCCUUUCACAAGUUCUAAAGAACACCUACCGUGUAGCAACUAAUUUUAGGAGAUAUCCCCUUUGGUAAUUCAUGUAGAAUAGGAUAGAAAGCUUCCAAACGAAGCAAAUUACUGCCCUGUAACGUAAGAGUUUUAGAACUUGGAAUCGGUUCACCUUUUGGGAAAGUCCAAUAGAAAAAGGAGUAGAAUCCUCAACCUGAAUAAAUAAGAGAAAUUACAUUAAUUUUAUGUAUAACAAUACAAACCAACAUUUGGAUUAUAGAUUGGAAGCUUCUAUCUUAUUAUACAAAACUCUAGGGGCUUGUCUUAAUUCAUAGAGAGAUUUUUUCAACCUAUAAACCAUGUAGGAAAACACUUUUAACAUCAAGUUCGAACACAAACAAGUUUCUUACUGCAGCAAUAGCCAAAAUAGUUCUAAUGGUAUCCCACCUAACUACCGGGGCAAAUAGCAUGUUUUUGAGAAUAUCCUUUGGCUAUUAAUCUAGCUUUGUACUUUUCAACCUUGCUGUGCUCAUUGUACUUAGUCUUGUAUAUCCAUUUAACUCCAAUUUUCUUAGCUCCACUAGCAAUUUUCUUAGCUUCAAUAUUUUAUAUAUUCAGUGGAAUUUCAAACCAUAGGAUUACUCGGAAAAAAAAAAGUUUUUUUAUGGAAACAAACAAAAAAGUUUUUAGUAUUAUGGAAUUAUCAAAUUUUGUUUCUGUUAUCUAUAAUAAUAAAAUUCAAACAAAUUCAAUAGUUGUUGAUUUUGACACUAAAAAUAUGAAUUUUAACCAAUAAGGAACAAUUGUCUAUAGCAAAAAAAAUAUUGGUGGAGCCUUUAAUUAGACCACGUAAAAUGUAGUUGUUUUUCACCAUUUGUGCAUCUCUUCCAUCCAAUUUAUAUGACUCACAUGUUAAUUUUCUGAUUUCUAUACUUUUGCUACCGUAGGUUUGUCUUAUGUGUAGGUUAUUCCUCAUAAGCUACAAGAUUUUUUUUUACUACUAUUCAAAUUUCAUGUGUUAUGAUUUUUAGAAUUACGUCAGUUAACUUGAUUUACUGUAUUAGUCUUUGGUCAUCUCGGGAUGGUCUUUAAAUUUUUUCGUUCUUACGGUGAAUUGUUAUAUGUUUUAAAUCUCAAAUUAUUUUACAAAUGUCCACAUAUGUGAUAUGUAACUCAAAGGCUUGACAUAAAUGAAUCUGGUAAACAUGGAUGGAUGGUUUAGAAUUCAAUUAUGUAAGAUUAUUUGAAUACUACAUAUAAACCAAUCACCAAUCAGAUUCAUGAGCUUUGAAAUCCAUUCUAAUAAAUUAAAUGACUAGACCACAUUUUCACAUAAUAAGUAGGAGCAAAGAAGAAGGUUCCAAAAGGAAGCUGACAAAAUCCAUCAACAUUUAACCAACUCACAACUUGCUAUACUAAUAUCACACACAUACCAACAACACUUUAUCAGGGUCCAGCAAUGUGAAUUAAAUUAACCUACACACCCUGUCCAAACUCAGGUAUUAUGAGAACAGUCUGUAGAAGCAUUCAUACUUCUAGAGAGAUGUGCCCGAAGAUUAGAAUUUGUUCGUUUCUUAUCUACAGGGAAAAAAAUAGUAGUUCUCAGCAUAACCUUGAAAUCAAUACUAUUCAACUGCCUUGUAGAAAACAGCAACCAGUAGUUAACAUGAACCAUCUAUAACUACCUGUCUUAGCAGUGUAUGUGCUGCUGAUCUAAAAACCGGCUCCCCCAAGCGGUAGAAAACUAGACGCCGGUAUCUCACCCCUCUAGAAUUAAUGACACAAAAAAGUUAGUAAUAUGGCAACGCUUUGCACCCACAAACUUAGCACAGAAGUGAGGGCAAAAGAAAUGAAGGUGAAACUGGUUUAGGGUAACAGACCUGGUAUUUAUCAGCUAAAAAGUAAAGGUCAAUGUUUUUGUCUAGGCCAAUUUGGGGAGACAAGAGACGGUACAUAUCGUAAAAUGUCGCCACCGGUUUACCAGAAUUGAUUUGGGUUCCAGGUUGUUCAUUGACUGUGACUUGUUGACUGCUUUUCUACAAGGAAAAAAAAAAAGGACAGUUCUUAGCAUAACCUUGAAAUCAAUAUCCAACAGCUUUAUAGAAAACAGCAACCAGUUCUUAACAUAAACCAUCAUCUAUACUUACCUGUCUUAGAAGUGUUGCUACUGCUGAUCUAAAAGCUGGCUCCCCAACAAUGUCUUUCAUAAGCGGUGUAAUAUUACACUUGGGUAUCUCACCUCUCUAGAACAAAUGACACAAAAAAGUUAGUAAUAUGGCAACGCUUCGCACCCACAGUGAGGGAAAAAGAAAUGAUGGUGAAACUGGUUUGGGGUAACAGACCUGGCAUUUUUUACCAAAAUAGUAAAGGUCAAUGGUUUUCUCUAUGCCAAUUUGGGGAGCCAGGAGAUGGAACAGCUGAUCAAAUGUCAACACCACUUUACUAGAAUUGAUUUGGGUUCUAGGUUGUUCAUUGACUGUGACUUGUAGAUUGCUUUUCUACAAGUAAAAAGGAAAUAACAGUUCUUAGCAUAACCUUGAAAUCAAUAUCCAACUGCUUUAUAGAAAAAUCAUGCACAACGCUGCAUAAACCAUCUACUCUACCUGUUCUUGCAUUUGUGCCAAUGAUGGUGAAACCAGCUGCUCCUCCAAAAUGUCUGUCAUAAGUGGGGAAAAAGUAGACACAAUGUCUGCCUGUUCAUCUCUCUAGAACAAAUGACACAAAAAGUUAGUAAUAUGGCAAAGCCUUGCACCACAAACUUCAAUAAUUUUUAACACAUAAGAGAUGGAAAAAGAAAUGAUGGUAAAACCGGUUUCUCGGAUAAAGGUUGAAUCUCAUCGACUUUGUCUUGGUCAUAUGGCAACAUGUUGAAUAAAACUUGAAGUUCAUUGACUGUGUCUGUGAUUUGUAGAUUACUCAUCUGUUGUGUUGUAAACUGUUCAUUGACUGGGACCUGACGAUUUUUAUUCUACAAGGAAAAAAAAAUAAAGUUCUCAACAUAAACAUGAAAUGAAUAUUCAACUGCCUUAUAGAAAAAUCAUCAGCAACAGUGCAUAAAACAUCUACUCUACCUGUUGUUCGUGCAGUUGCAUCGUUGCUGAAUAAACCAGCUGCAUUCCCACAAUGUCUGUCACACGCGCAAAAAACCUAGACUUGGGUAUUAUUUCAUCUCUCUAGAACAAAUGACACAAAAAAAGUUAGUAAUACAAUAAUGUAAUAUGGCAAAACCUUGCACUACAAACUUAAAUAAUAUUUAACACAGAAGAGAUGGAAAGAGAAAUGAUGGUAAAACCGGUUUGGGGAUAAGAGACCUUAUAUUUCUCGAAUAAAGCUUGAAUUUCAUCGACUUUGUCUUGGUCAAUAUGGGGAAACAAGAAAGGGAACAACCGGUCAUAUGGCACCACAGGUAUAGCAGGUAAACUUUCAUUGACGGUNNNNNNNNNNNNNNNNNNNNNNNNNNNNNNNNNNNNNNNNNNNNNNNNNNNNNNNNNNNNNNNNNNNNNNNNNNNNNNNNNNNNNNNNNNNNNNNNNNNNNNNNNNNNNNNNNNNNNNNNNNNNNNNAGUCUAAAACAUUUAAAACGUCCACAUAAUAAUUAAUAGAAUUCAAAUAAUGAUGCUUAGGGUUAGGGUAAAACGAAAAACACACACAAAAUGAAAUCUAAAGACAAUAAUAAACAUGAGCAUUGAAAUGUGUAGAACCAAAACAUAAAUUGAUAUCAAAUCCAAAAACAGAGAAGAAAUUAAACGCAGAUGACGUGAGGAUUAAGAAAUUAACUAUGGAUGUAGCGAGACUCAUGAUUAGAACUUCCUGUCAAGUUGUGGUGGCUGAAUUUAUCGAUGUAAAGAUAAACGGCGAGGUUUUUCACCUGCGUGUCAUCGAAGAUUUGUACGGACCUAUGAGGAUUAUGACAACUCAGAAACAAGGCCAGCAAGGAAGAUCUAUGGAUAAUGAUAGUUCGGAGGAUGAACGGAGAUUGAUGGCGGUGGUGGAUGAGCCAGAGAGAGAAUCGGAAGGCGAAAAUUUAUUAGCAUUAAACUCUAAUGUUAAUGUCCAUAAUAUUCCUAUUAAUGCUUAUAAAGUUGUGAAUACCUUUUUGUAAGCGUUUAACGUACCUGAGGAUAGGGAGGAAGGUUCAAAUCUUUCUAGUAAUUUUGUCCCUAUCCAAAAUUUAGAAAAUUUGAAUAAACAUGAUCAUUGAAAAACAAUAGCUACUGUAAGUUUGCCGUAUGUGUAGGCUAUUCCUCCUAAGCUACAAGAUUUUUUUUUAUUAAUAUUCAAAUUUAUUCUAGAAUUACUCUCCCCCUAUGUUGGUCUUAAAAAUGAUUUAGUUAUUAUGAAUAGAGAAGGAAAUCCCCCAAGUCUUGAAAUGAUGAUUUCUAUCAAUUGGCGAUUAAAAUGCAAGUCAAAACAAAAACAGGGAAUAUGACAAAUAACUAACAUACAUAAAUUUAAAACCAUACAUUGCUGAAGAUAGUACAAUUACGUCGUUAACUUGAUGUACCAUCAUAGUCUUUGGUCAUCUCGAGAUGUUCUUUAAAGUUUUUUGUUCUUAUAGUCCUCAUGCUUGCGGGGUUAAGGACUGUUAUAAUUUUAAAUCUCAAAUUAUUUUCUUAAGCAUUUUACUCUUACUGUCAUAAAAUAUUUCUAUCUUGAUUGAACACUACAAGAUAGUUUAAUAAUGUGAGUUCAAAAUGCGCUCUUCAAUGGGGAUUGGGGAUUCAGAAGAUAAAGGACUAGUGCACCAAGUAAGGAGUUUUCCCACCAAAAAUUCAAAUUCAAAUAGCAAGUGAAGAUGGGAGGGAACAAUUUUCAAAGAUUUUCACAGGACAAGUGUCCUACACGUGGCAAACAUGCAAAGUUCGAAAACAGUUACUCGAGUUUUCGAAUUUUCUUAUAAAUACAAUAAUCGUAGGCUGUUUUAGGAAGUUCCUUUCCAAUAGAGAAAACAUACCGCCUAAAAUAGAACCACAUUUUCACGCUAACAUACAAAAUGCAAAAAAAACUUCUCAUAUGGCUGUAAUUGAUGUAUGAAACUCAAUUUCUUUAUAAUGCAAUUUAACUUUUCUAGUUAUAGCAUUUUAGAUUGAUUUUACUCAAAAAGACGCUAAACAUUCUAGAAAUUCAAACCAAUCGUAAACCUAUCAACUGAAGAACCCAUUAAGGAUAUGAUCAAAAUCCUAAAUAAACCAAUUGUAAUCAGGACUUAAUUAAAAUGGUCAAGUUUAUUUUAUUCCAACAAACCUAUGGCACUUUUGCAGAAAUGAAUCCUCUCCAUUUAUUUUUCUCAUCUUUUACAAAUGUCCACAUGUGAUAUGUAACUCAAAGGCUUUAACAUAAAUGAAUCUGGUAAACAAGGAUGCAUAAUUUAGAAUUCAAUUAUGUAAGAUUAUUUGAAUAAUACAUAUGGUUAAUGAACUUCAAUAUCAAGUUCACAAAGUCAUGACAGAUACACCAAUCACCAAUCAGAUUCAUGAGCUUUGAAAUCCACAUUCUAAUAAAUUGCAUGACUAGACCACAUUUUCACAAAAUAAGUAGGAACAAAGAACAUGGUUCCAAAAGGAAGCUGACAAAAUCCAUCAACAUUUAACCAACUCACAACUUGCUAUAUUAAUAUCACACACAUACCAACACUUUAACAGGUCACACCCUGCCCAAACACAGGUAUUAUGAGAACAGUCUGUAGCAGCAUUCAUACUUCUAGAGAGAUGUGGCAGAAGAGCCUGUUUUGUUUCUUAUCUACAGGAAGAAAAAAAAUAGUAGUUCUUAGCAUAACCUUGAAAUCAAUACUAUUCAACUGCCUUAUAGAAAACAGCAACCAGUUCUUAACAUAAACCAUCUAUACCUACCUGUCUUAGCAGUAUGUCUCCUGCUAAUUUAAAAGCCGGCUUCCCCACAAUGCCUUUCAUAAGCGGUAUAACAUCAGACUUGGGUAUCUCACCUCUCUAGAACAAAUGACACAAAAAAGUUAGUAAUAUGGAAACGCUUUGCACCCACAAACUUAAAUAGUUUUUAGCACAGAAGUGAGGGAAAAAGAAAUAUUGGUGAUACUGUUUUGGGGCAACAGACCUUGUAUUUUUCACCUAAAACGUAAAGAUCAAUGGUUUUCUCUAUGCCAAUUUGGGGAGCCAAGAGAUGGAACAGCUGGUAAAAUGUCACCCCUGUGUCACUAGAAUUGAUUUGGGUUCCAGGUUGUUCAUUGACUUGUAGAUUGCUUUUCUACAAGGAAAAAAAAAACAGUUCUUAGCAUAACCAUGAAAUCAAUAUUCAACUGCCUUAUAGAAAAAUCAUGCAGCAACGCUGCAUAAACCAUCUACUCUAACUACCGGUUGUUUCACUUUUGCUGCUGCUGAUUUAAAUAUCUGCUCCCCCAAAAUGCCUGUCAUAACCGGUACAAAAGUAUCCUUAGGUAUUUCACCUCUCUAGAACAAAUUACACAAAAAAGUUAGUAAUAUGGCAAAGUCUUGCACCACAAAACUUAGAUAGCACUGAAGAGAGGAAAAAAGAAAUAUUGGGGCAACAGACCCUAUAUUGGUCGAAUAAAACUUUAAGUUCAAUGACUUUGUCUGGGUCAGUCAUAUAGGGUAGCAAGAAAGGAUACAGCUGGUCAAAUGGCAAAUCCAGGUCACUGGAAUCGAUCUGGGUUGUAAACUGUUCAUUGACUGGGACCUGACGAUUUUUAUUCUACAAGGAAAAAAAAUAAAGUUCUUAACAUAAACAUGAAAUGAAUAUUCAACUGCCUUAUAGAAAAAUCAUCAGCAACAGUGCAUAAAACAUCUACUCUACCUGUUGUUCGUGCAGUUGCAUCGUUGCUGAAUAAACCAACUGCAUCCCCACAAUGUCUGUCACACGCGCGAAAAACCUAGACUUGGGUAUUAUUUCAUCUCUCUAGAACAAAUGACACAAAAAAAGUUAGUAAUACAAUAAUGUAAUAUGGCAAAACCUUGCACUACAAACUUAAAUAAUUUUUAACACAGAAGAGAUGGAAAGAGAAAUGAUGGUAAAACCGGUUUGGGGGUAAGAGACCUUAUAUUUCUCGAAUAAAGCUUGAAUUUCAUCGACUUUGUCUUGGUCAAUAUGGGGAAACAAGAAAGGGAACAACCGGUCAUAUGGCACCACAGGUAUAGCAGGAAAACUUUCAUUGACGGUGUCUGUCGUCUGCUGCGCUGUAGAUGGGUCCAUAGUCUUCUAAACCAACUGCAGUCGCAGAUAUUAACAUAAAAGAAGCAUCUGAAGUUAAAUGUUGGCAUCAAUAUAUGCAUUUGGUUAAAGGCAUGAAUUCAUCUCAGCAUCAUUUGUUCAAAGUCUAAAACCUAUAAGCACGACAAGGACAGACACACACUGGCACAUCGAUACCGAUAAUAAUUUGAAAAAACGACAUGAUUAAAUGUAAUCAUAAGUGUCGGUGUUCGAAGACACAUGUUUGACAUCGGGGAAAGCCUAAUCCAAGAGUGUAAGUGCGCUUCGUAGUCUAAAACAUUUAAAACGUCCACAUAAUUAUUAAUAGAAUUCAAAUAAUGAUGGUUAGGGUUAGGGUAAAACGAAAAACGAAAAACGAAAAACACACACAAAAUGAAAUCAAUAGUCAAAAUCGAAAGACAAUAAUAAACAUGAGCAUUGAAAUGUGUAGAACCAAAACAUAAAUUGAUAUCAAAUCCAAAAACAGAGAAGAAAUUGAAGGCAUGAAAAAAUAUAGGAAAAGAACGAACGAAGUCACUCACAUAAAUUGAUAAGCCGAACGCGAUAAGGACCUUAGAAUUUGACACUAAAAAUUUGAAUUUUAAUCACAAGCAACUGUUGUUCUUAGUAGAAAUAUUGUUGGUGUAGCCUGCGAUUAAAUUCUUGUGGUAAAUUCAUAUGUACAUGGGGAAGUUAUUUUUAGGGUAAAUAGGGUUUUACCUCCCUGCAAAAUAGGCAAGUUUUGGAUUACCCCCUUAAAAUUUUUUUUUGUGAUUACCCCCUGUAAAAUGAAGAUUCCAUCAUUUACCCCCCUCAGUCGACAACAUGGAUGUUGACUGGACAAAAUUGAUGACGUGGGAUGCAUGUGUGGCUUUUCAUUCAUUUUUUAUUANNNNNNNNNNNNNNNNNNNNNNNNNNNNNNNNNNNNNNNNNNNNNNNNNNNNNNNNNNNNNNNNNNNNNNNNNNNNNNNNNNNNNNNNNNNAACUAAGCCAAAGUAACAAAAAAUUUAAACUUUCCAAAGAGUGAUGAAGAUUUGGGUUUGAAGAUGAUGAAUAAGUAAGUGAUGAAGAUUUAGGUGUUGAGUAUAUUGGUGUGUUGAUUGAUUUUCUUUUUCUAGAGAGGGGAUAACUUUUGUUUUUGUUGAUUUUUUUGGAGAGAAGGAUGAAAUUAUAGCAAUAUUGAAGAAGAUGAACCUUCAACCCCAAUUACUAUUGUUUUUUUCUCUUUUUUUUUCAGUUUUUUUUAAUUAAAAAAAUAAUAAUUAUACAUUCAUUAAUGAAUUGACAAUAAAAAAAUAAAUAUAAAAUAAAUUAAUUCCACUUGUACGUGCCACGUCAUCAAUUUUGUCCAGUCAGCAUCCAUGUUAUCGACUGAGGGGGGUAAAUGAUGGAAUCUUCAUUUUACAGGGGGUAAUCACAAAAAAAAAAUUGCAGGGGGGUAACGCAAAACUGACCUAUUUUGUAGGGGGGUAAAAUCCUAUUUACCCUUAUUUUUAUUUAAAAACAAAUUUUUAUUUAUUUUUAAUUAAUAAAUAUAAAUAACUACCUUUUUGUGAGAGGAACAAAAAAAAUUGCAUCUAAAUAAAUGCAUAUAAGUUUUGUCCAUUUUUUAUUACUUUUAUAUAUAUCUUUUAAAAUUUAAAAAUUUCUAAAAUUUUAUAAAUAAUUUUUUUAUAUAGUAUUCUAUGUUUGAAAAAAUUAUUCACAAAUUUAAGAGUUUAAGGAUAAGAAAACAAUUUUUAAAAUUUUGAAAAAUAGAAGGACUAUAAUUGCUUGCAUAAAAAUUCUGUAGUGACCAAACCAUGUGACUUUUGUUUAUAGGGAGCAAAAAUAAAAUUUUAUAAGGAUAAAAAAUAUAUUUAACCCUAUUAGCAAGAAAAAAAAACAUAAACAAGAGAUAGAAAACAGAAUAUCAUAGUUUAGUACGGGUAGCUUAAUUGGUAGAUACUAAAGAUAUUAUUGAAGGGCUAGUUUUGAAUCGUAAAUUCUCCACAUUUAUAGUCUAUGAGUCUAACCAUUAAAUUACUGAAUAAAAAAAAUUAAUGUUUAAUCUGUGAUAAGAUAUAAUCGGGAUACCAAUUAUCAUAUUAUGUGUAUAGUGCAUACAUGAUAACAAUAUUUCAAAACAAAAAAUGGGUGAUUUCACAACAAAAAAUGUCCUAAAACCAGCUCCCCAGAGAUGGAUGAAUGGAGAAGAGAGGUUAGAGAGAAGUGAAGAUGAAGUUUCUCUUAGAAAAUAAAACUACGGCCGACGAUCAGCCAUCAGGUUGAACCCACCAAUAGUUUAUCGUAAAGAACAACGACAAACUCACAACCAUUUUUGGCCAAUCAGGUUGAAUUCAAUCACAAAGGACUAAACCAGAUUAAAGGAUGACGACGGUCGCGAAUCGAUUGAUGUGAAAAUACUUUCAAAAUAUGAAUGGAUAGAUUAGAAAAAACCUAAUUCAAUAUGAAUAUACCAAUAAAUAUAUGAGCUUUAACAUGAUUAUUAAUAAUUUUCAUAACUCACAAUUUUUUUUUUUUAAUUCUAUUAAAAUGAUAUGAUAUUUUAUAAUUGAUUGAUUUAUUCUUAGUAAAAAUGCGGGUAACGGAUAUAUGUGCUUAAGUACCCAGAGGGUACGAGCACAUAUACAAAGGUUGUUACCCAUGCGGGUAUGAGACCAGAUCCAAAUAUUUUUUUAUUUAUUUUUUAAAAUUGCGCAUACGAGAAUGACGACUAUAGUACCUUACUCAUACUCUACUCAUUAUCAUCCCUACACGAUUCCCAACUUGUUAUAUGUCCUUCCUCAAGUUUGAAAGACAAAGUGGGAAAUUGAACAAUGCUCGGAGCAAAACAUUGCUCAUAAUGUGCUAUGAAGCAUAGACACCUCGAAUUAUGCAUGUAUCAAUAUCAGACAUGCAUAGGUGUUUUACACUAAUACAACACUGACAUUUACGAUUAUUUAAAUUAUGUUUGUUUUUUAAAUGUUGUCGGCUUCAAAUGAAUUCGAACAUGGAAACCGUGACAUCACCCCUUCCUCCAUACACCAUACGCUCGUAUCGUGAUUAAGAGUGUGAGGGAAAAAAAAUAAAGGAAAGAAAGAAGAAAGGUGACAUAGAAAAAUAGCAAGUCACAAUUUAUUCACAAAAUGGACGUGUGACUUUAUUUACUUCCAUGAGAUUGUAUCCUCAUAAUAGAUGAAGAUGUAAGCUUUUUUUGUUAACAAGUCAUACACUGCGUUAACGGCAUCGAUGAUAUGUUGUAGAGAAAAAUGAAUUAUUAGAAGCUAAUAUCCAAAAUCUCGAUUGGGUCAAAUUAUCAAGCUGGUGACCAAAAGAGUAAUUUGCAAUAUUAACAAUCUGUCCAAUUUUCUCUUCAAGUUGUGGAAACUCUGGUUGAGCAGCUAGUUUCCACCGUUUAUCAAAUGCAAGCCAACAAGAUGUUGCAUGAUGAUGUACAACAUGUUCCAGUAUUCGAGGUAGGUGAGUCCGUUAAAACAGUGUUACUUUAUUAUGAGAUCAAUGCAGCCAUUUUAGGUGAAGACAAUUUGAUGUCGCCAACCACUUAUGAAAAAAAACAUUUUGAUACUCUAGAAGUUUGUUGACUAUUACUAAUAUACUCCCUUCGUCUAAAAAUAUAAGCAAAAACUAGUUAACAAAAUUUGAUGUAUUUGGUGUAAAAUUUAGUCCAGAUACAUUAACUUUUGUUGACUCUCUUUUGCUUAUAUUUUGAAAAGGAGGGAGUACAAUCAUUUAAUAACAUGUUAAUUUUAUAUAUUUUAUUAUUUUUUUAAAAAAAUGUUUGUAUAGCACCAAUACACAGCAAAACUUUAUUAUUUGAGAAUGUUGUGGCACCUUCCAGUUGCUUAAAAAUCUGGCACUAUUUUUUAAAAUAAAUAAUAAUAUUUAUUAAUGUUUUAUUUAAGUUCACGUGAACUUAGCUCAAUAGGUAAGAACAUCGCAUAUAUUAUAGGGAAGUUGAUGCCAACCACCGGGCUACUGCGCGCGAUAUGAUACGUUGGGGAAGCAAAUGAUAUAUUUACAGACUUUAAUAUUCAUACUAUAUAAAAAUACAUAUAUUGAUUGAAAAAAAAUGAGGGGUGUUGCGCACCUCCCUGCUCAUAAGAAAAUCCGCCCCUGACCGGACAUCAAAGCCACAGUUUCACCUUGGUGUGUUCUUUUCUCACUCUUAUUUUAUACAUGUUGCUUGUACCAAAAGAAAUUAAGCCCGUGUUUCAGUCUUAAGGAAACGGAGAUACUCAUACAAGAGAUGUGGGAUAUAUGUUGGUAUAAGCAAGAACAUGACAAUGAAAUGAAUUUAGAAAAUUGCUGAAAAAAAUAACAACAUUGAGAGUGCGUUUGAUCUGCUAAAAAACAGGAGACUGGACUGGACAACUUUUGUUGUACCCUGUUUGAUUUGAAACUGACUUGAGACUGGACAAAUUAGGUAGCAAGGGACAGGACAAAAACAAAAUUUUUUGUCCCUCACUGAACCACAAUACAACUUUUUGUCCAUAGUACAACUAUAAAAAAUACGAAAAUACUCAUUUUGUUUUCGAAUAUAAAAUAUUAUCGACUUAUAUCUCUCCGGUACAGAUUUGUCAUGUCCUGUAUUAUCUUGUUCCGUCCCGUAUUAUUUUGUUCAGUCCUUGCUAUUUUACGAAUCAAACGCACCCUGAAUCCUGAAUGUGAAAUGUGAAUUUUACUCAUUUUCAGCUCCAAUUCCAAGUUUAGAACACUUCUCUUUUAGAAAUACUCUGUAGUGUGUUUUAAUUCUAGAAAGAAGGCAUCAGAUCAACUUUUUGCAUGGUGGGCACAGAUAUGGUAAAACUACAAAAGCAAUGGUUUUAUUUGUCACGGUGACCCAAAAUUCAAAUAUCACAACAAUGCAAGAUGAAAUUGCAUACUCGUUGAAUAUGAAAUUCGAUGAAGUUGGAAGGGCCAGAAGAAUAUUCUCAACAAUAGAAAGUAUGAAUCAUCCAAUUCUAAUGAAUUUUUAAGAUGUUUGAGCAAAAUUCGACCCAAAGGUUGUAUGCAUUAAUUCCUUGUAAUAAUAACCGUUGCGAGAUCGUUUUGACCACAUGUUGCAGACAAAAUUGUGACUUGAUGUACUGUCAAAAGGAUAUUUAACUUGGUCCCUUAUCUACAAAUGAAUCUUGGACUUUGUUCCAAAAAAGUUCAGGUAUUCACUGUGAUGAGUACUCGUCAUUUGACCUAUUGAAUGUCGGGUGUGAAGUUGCUUUUCAAUGUGAAGGCUUAUAUAGAACGGUUAAAGAUGUGCGACCUACCAAUUGAGGAAUGGAAAACAACACUACAUAAUCUGAAACUUUCAAUGGCCAAAUGAAAAAAAUUCUUAGUUUUAGAGGUUUUCUCUUACAGGUUUUCUCUCUAUCAAACUUUAUCUCUAGGGACAUUCAGGGAAUGGAAUGGAUUCUCUCCCAUGGGCCAAAAAACUGGAGGAAAUAAUGUUGAUAAAUCUCAACCCUUCAUUUCUUUCAAUGAAAAAUCAAUAAUCAGGAUUACAAGCACAUAAAAUAUUUUGUCUCUUCUCCCUAGGCUUCAUCUUCUUCAAGACUUCAACAAACAUUAAUAACCAUUUUCACCAUUUUCAGUUCUUCAAUCAUCGUCAUAAUCACCCCAAAAUUCACAAUUGCAUAACCAAACAUAAAUUUAUUAGAGAAUGAGAUAGGUUAUGGAACUUGUAAAAAUUGAGUUUUCAUUAAUUGCAUGAAGAAUUGCACAGUUUUCAAAAAUUGGGUUUUUCCAUUAAAUGUUUGUAAAAAUUAAACAGAAAAUGUUCAUGGAACUUGUAACAAAAUUUAAGGAAGAAAAUUACAUUUUGAUUUUAAAUGUUCAUAUGUAUCAGAAUGGCAAUAAUAGAAAUAAAAAUCAAUUAGUUAGAGCUAGGAAGAAAUAAGAAAGAAUGGACAAAACCCCUUCUAUCCUAGCAUCUGCCAUUGCAGAAUCUCUCCACCAUCAGUGGAAAAUGUGUUGUUACAAAGAUCCAACCGCACAAACAGUGGGAGGAAUUGCCAUUGCCGCCAUGGGAGUGAAGAAAGGUCAGGAAAGAGAAGACAAGUGGGACCCAAAAUGACAUAGUAUGACAUUAGACUUUAGGUUUUAGUCACAGCCAUUAAUAUUACAUUAAAAGAAAUAGAGGGAUGAGAUUACACAUUAUUUCCUCCAGUUGUUGGUUCACGGGAGAGAAUCCACUCCCGGACAUUCAAGACCUUCAUGGAUGACGGAGGACUGCACAAUGGAGUCCAAAUUUUACCCUCUCUUCUAAAUGCAAUUGAAGCAUUAAGGCUUUUUAUUAUUGAGUGUAUGAAAUUGAAGAAUCAAUGAGUUUGGCCAAUCUUUUACAAAAUGAAAUCAUCUGACAUAAGGCAUCUGAGAAAAUGUUACGGCAAAGACAUGACUCAACAUGAAAGUAAUUUUGGAAUUAACUCAGAGUACAUAAAUGGAGGUCAGUUUUUUUUUUUUUUUGAAGUGUCUAAUUUGUCUGGAAANNNNNNNNNNNNNNNNNNNNNNNNNNNUUAUGUUUGUCAAAAAAAAAAAAAAACUCAAAGGCUUAUGUGAUAUGUAACUCAAAGGCUUACAUAAACGAAUCCGGUAAACAUGGAUGCAUGAUUUAUGUUAGAUUAUUUGAAUACUACAACAAUCACCAAUCAGAUUCAUGAGUUUUGAAAUCCAUUCUAAUUCUAAUAAACUGCAUGACUAGACUACAUACCAACGCUAACAGGUACACACCCUGCCCAAACACAGGUAUUAUGAGAGAAAGGUCUGUAGCAGCAUUCAUACUUCUAGAGAGAUGUGGCACAAAAACCUGUUUUGUUUCGUAUCUACAAGGAAAAAAAAAAAUAGUAGUUCUUAGCAAAACCUUGAAAUCAAUACUAUUCAACUGCCUUAUAGAAAACAGCAACAAGUUCUACCUGUCUUAGCAGUGUUUCUGCAGCUAAUUUAAAAGCUUGCUUCCCCACAAUGCCUUUUAUAAGCGGUAAAAAAUCAGUCAUGGGUAUCUCACCUCUCUAGAACAAAUGACACAAAAAAAGUUAGUAAUAUGGCAAUGCAUUGCACCCACAAACUGAAAUAAUUUUUAACACGAAAGUGAGGGAAAAAGAAAUGAUGGUGAAACUGGUUUGGGGUAACAGACCUGAUAUUUAUCACCUAAAAAGUAAAGGUCAAUGGUUCUCUCUAUGCCAAUUUGGGGAGCCAAGAGAUGGAACAGCUGAUUAAAUGUCACCCCUGGGUCACUAGAAUUGAUUUGGAUUCCAGGUUGUUCAUUGACUUGUAGAUUGCUUUUCUACAAGGGAAAAAAAUAAAAAUAAAAACAGUUAUUAGCAUAACCUUGAAAUCAAUAUUCAACUGUCUUAUAGAAAAAUCAUGAGCAACACUGCAUAAACCAUCUACUCUACCUACCAGUUGUUUCACUUUUGCUGCUGCUGAUUUAAAUAUCUGCUCCCCCAAAAUGCAUGUCAUAACCGGUACAAAAGUAUCCUUGGGUAUUUCACAUCUCUAGAACAAAUGACACAAAAAAAUUAGUAAUAUGGCAAAGCCUUGCACCAAAAACUUAGAUAGCACUGAAGAGAGGAAAAAAUAAAUAUUGAGGCAACAUACCCUAUAUUGGUCGAAUAAAACUUUAAGUUCAAUGGCUUUGUCUGGAUCAGUUAUAUGGGGAAUCAAGAAAGGAUACAGCUGGUCAAAUGGCAAUUCCAGGUCACUCGAAUUGAUCUGGGUUGUAAACUGUUCAUUGACUGGGACCUGAUGAUUUUUAUUCUACAAGGAAAAAAAAUAAAGUUCUUAACAUAAACAUGAAAUGAAUAUUCAACUGCCUAAUAGAAAAAUCAUCAGCAAUAGUGCAUAAAACAUCUACUCUACCUGUUGUUCUUGCAGUUGCAUCGUUGCUGAAUAAACCAGCUGUAUCCCCACAAUGUCUGUCACACGCGCGAAAAAACUAGACUUGGGUAUUAUUUCAUCUCUCUAGAACAAAUGACAUAAAAAAAGUUAGUAAUACAAUAAUGUAAUAUGGCAAAACCUUGCACUACAAACUUAAAUAAUAUUUAACACAGAAGAUAUGGAAAGAGAAAUGAUGGUAAAAGCGGUUUGGGGGUAAGAGACCUUAUAUUUCUCGAAUAAAGCUUGAAUUUCAUCGACUUUGUCUUGGUCAAUAUGGGGAAACAAGAAAGGGAACAACCGGUCAUAUGGCACCACAGGUAUAGCAGGUAAACUUUCAUNNNNNNNNNNNNNNAACAUUUAAAACGUCCACAUAAUAAUUAAUAGAAUUCAAAUAAUGAUGCUUAGGGUUAGGGUAAAACGAAAAACACACACAAAAUGAAAUCUAAAGACAAUAAUAAACAUGAGCAUUGAAAUGUAUAGAAUCAAAACAUAAAAUAUAGGAAACAAACGAACGAACGAGCGAAGUCACUCACAUAAAUUGAUAAGCCGAACGCGAUAAGAACCUUCGAAUUUGAAACAGACGAAACGGAAUUUCAAACAGAAGGAGACUUUAGUAGCGGUGGGGUUUUUUAUUUUCUGCCUUUUGUUCAACCUAUUCUUCUUGCGUUUCAGAUAAAUAAAUAAAUAAAUAAAAUAUAAUAAUAAUAUUUCAUCCGUUUUUAAAUUACUUGUCAUUUAAAAAAAAUAAAAAAAAUAAAUUUUAACAUUUUAUCUUCCUAUUACACACUUUAUUUAAUUCACCAAUAAUUUUAUUUUUAAUUUUUUUGCAGACACUUUAUCUUUCCAAUAAAUUUAAUAUACUAUGUACCCAAAAAAUAAAAAAUUAAUAUGUUAUGAACGAAAAAAAACUUUAGUUUUCAAAAUAUAUAUUAAAUCUUUUACGGUUUCAACAACUACUCAUAAAUAUUUGAAAUUUAUAUGAGGGUAUAAUAGACAAAAUAUAAUCUUAAAUUAUCAAAACGAUAAGUAAUUUGAAACAUUUUUUUUCUAAAACGAUAAGUAAUUCGAAACAGAUGGAAUAAAUGAUUAAUAUUACUAUAAUGAAAAUAAAUUUUACAAAGUUUACGGUUGAAUUGAAAAUUUAUAUUAUAUGAAUCAUUCAUAAAGAAAUUUAGAAAAAAUUGAACAUUAUUCGAAAUAUGAAUUGUUAUUGAGACCUAUCAAGAUUAUCAGUAUUUAAUAAAAACCAUAAACCAUUAAUCUUAAUAGGUUUUAAUAAUAUAUGAAAUGAUUUUCAAUUUCUCUACCAAAAUUUAUGGAUUUAUGGAUGAUCUAUCUGAUAUAAACUUUCAAUCAAACGUUGGAUUUUUUAAAAUUCAUUUUCGUUGUAAUAGUAUUGAUCAUUUGUCCACCAUGGACCACUUAGAAUUUUCCAUUGUAAUAAGAAAUAAAUGUCCACAAAUCCUAGCUGAACUAAACAGACAGAAAUGCCGAAAUUAUUAGUGUCAGACGCCAUGAUCGGGGUUCGAACUUUGGUCUCUCCACUUUAUAGGUGUGAAUUUUCAAUAACUUUAUUAUUUCAUCUAUCAAACAUAAAUAAAUAAAUAUACAGAGGACAAAGAAGCUCACUUUUUUCUUUUUUUUUCUUUCCGAUUUUGACCCUCUACACAUUGAAAAUUGAAAUGUUCUUAACCUCCAACAUAGUAACGGAACUGGAUCCUCUCCUUCCCUAACUCUCUCCUUCUCUCUCCUUCUCAAAAUCUGGACAGUUAGAUCAAUCCCAUGGUUUAAAAUUAAAACAGAAUAAAUUAAAAAAUAAGACAAUAUGCUUCUCAAUAUGCUUCUCAUAUCGUGAUUGUGUAUUCGACGACACCACCACCAACCCCAACUUGGACGAUUCUUAUUCACUGUAACUGGAAUGCAGCGGCGGAUACACGGUGUUCGGCGAUGCAACGGCAGUGUUCGACAAUGAAGAAAAAAUGCACAGGACAGGUUUGCGGCGGUAGUCGGCAAUGAGCGGCGGGUUGCCGGUCUCAGAGAUCGAUGUUGGACGGUAUUGUUGAGUUUGAGAAGUAUGACAAUUGAAGAUGAAGAUCUGGCUGCAAGAUCUGGUUUUUAUUACUGUUUUUAGUUUUUUCUUUAAAAACAAAACUUGUUACAGAUAGCAGUAAAACACAUUGCAAAUUAAUUUCACAAUGAGUAAUGAGAGAUUUUGUGAAUGAAUCCAGAGAUUGCAGCCACUAAAUUUGUUGUGGAAGAUUUUCAAAAAAAAAAAUUGCUGUGGAAGAUGAAGGGGAAAAAGGUUUGCUGUGAAAAGAUGCAGGGUAUUUUGUUUUGGAAGAAUCCUCUCAUCCAUUAGAUUGAUCUAACGGUUCAGAUUUGGAGAAGGAGAGAGAAGGAGGUAGUUAGGGAAGGAGACAAUCCGGAUCCCAUAGUAACUAACUAGACUGUUUCUUUUUUUUUUUUGUUCUAUAGAACAAGUGGUGAAUAGUGAAUACCACUAAAACUCACACUGAUUUGGUAAACAUCACCUAAACCAAGUAGAAAUGCAAAUUAAAAUUAAAAUCAUCAUGAAAUGAUACAGAACAAAUAAAUAAACAAAGCUGAAUGAAAAGAAGCAGUGACAGUCAAUCACUUGGUAAACGUUGCCAACAAUUCAUCCAAAACAGAAGCAUCAACAUCAGCAAACAAUUCAAAGGGUUCAUUUGAUUUGGAAGCAUCAGGGUUUUGUUGGCAUAAAGUUGGACAUGGCCAAAGCAUAACAUAGAAUUGAAUGGAAUUUUCUAGAAACUACCCUUCUCAGUUGGUAAACAACAUCAUGGCUUGUCCAUUGCCAGAAAUGCCCCUCCUAAAACUCAUUUAUUUUUUGCUCAAGACGAAGCUCAGAAUGUGAAGGAUAUACAUAUACUAGAUGAAUAUCAAAGGAUUUCGGGCCAGAAGAUCAACAGGGAUAAGUCUGAAAUGGUUUUUAGUCCAAAUACUCUAAGACAAUACAAGGGCCAGUAUACAACAUCACUGAUAGUAUCACCAAGUAUCUAGGACUGCCUACUCAAAUAGGCAGGUCUAAAAAUCAAGUUUUUCAAUUUUUAAUUUAUAGAAUAUGGGAAAAGCUUAAGGGUUGGAAGGAAAAUAAGUUAUCUUUUGCUGGCAGGGGUGUGCUCAUUAGAGCUGUAGCUCAGGCUAUUCCUACAUAUGUUAUGAGUUUCUUUCAAAUUCCUCAGAAUAUAUGGCACCAGUAGUAUAACUUGUCGGCUGUUGAUGACUGAUGCGAAAUGCUUUAUUUAUUUAUUUAUUUAUUUAUUUAUUUAUUUAUGUUUUUAAGCUUCUUUGGAAUCAGCUUAACACUCAACUACAUGUAGACUUCGCAAAGACAUCGUGGGGCAUAUGGCGCAAACAAAAUCUCCAACUUUGUUGGAAUGUGCUCAAAGUGUCCUCCAUUCAUGGCAGCAAGUUCACAACCAUCGUAGCAUGUGUAGAAGGAAUGAAGGAUGUAAUCUCUGAACAAAAUAUUGAAUUACUUGUUUUUUUAUUGUCAUGUUGGUGGUAGGUUAUGCGUGAGUGUAAUGUCUUUUUUUAAUCGAAUUUGUAUUUAAACUAGCAAAUAUUGGAAAUAGAACAUGAAAGAAUGAUUUGAUAGGGUGAAAGAGCAACAAUGAUUGGCAAUUUUGAAUCGAAUUGUAUAUGUUUUGUUUCACCCUCGGAUAUAUCACAUCAUAUUCAGAUGUAUUAUUCGGACCCAGAUUGCUUAGAGUCAUGCAGUUAGGGAACAAUCUGGCCGUCCGUUUAAGAUUUGACAGUUCAGAUAUAAAGAUUUAAUCAAACUAUAUAACUGUUUUAUAUCUAGACCCGCCUGAUUAAAAUUAGACUGUCAGAUUUUCCAUUUUGUCAAAAAAUCCAUGUUAUUCACUUUAGACACAAGUCUUUCAUGAUUUUGUCCUUUAUAAAAGACGUAUGUUAAAUUGAAGAUUGUAUAUUGCAUAUAAACUAUUCUUAAUCUUGACUAUUAAACAAUGUGAGACUUUAAAAUGUACAUUAUUGUAUGCAGUAUGUAUGUCCAUAAUGUUGGAAAAAGCUUGGUUUGGAAUUUUGGAUGCCAGUUGGUUGUUUUCUCAAUGAAAGGAAUGUAAAAGAAAGGGAUGUGGAAAAUAACUAAAUAAUUAGGACCAUUAUAUAUUUUAGGCAGGGAAUUCAACACCAUAACAGCACUAAACUACAAUAGCUAGUGCCAUAACCUACCUAAUAUUUGUUUUGGUGUUCUUAACCUCAUUCAAACUUUAUAAGAACUAACAGUAUGAUUAGAAACAGGCAAGAAUAUGAUGAUAAUCUUGUAGUGAAUAAAAUAUUUCGAUUAUCUAUUGAGAUUGAGAACAAUGAAAGGAACUAUUAUUACAAGUUACAACACAACAACUUGCCACAACAAUUCCAAGGCAUGCAGAUUAUUCAGUUUAAAUGCAUAAUAAUCACUUGUGAUAGUAAAAUGGAAGGUUGCAAAAAGCUUUCAACAACAAUAACACUCAUUCAACUCAACAAAGAUUCCACAUACAAGUUAUUACUUCACAGUGUAUCAUCUAAAUUCUUGAAAGUUAACAUGACCAGUUGCUUGAGCGUGCUCCGCUGCUUCCU